rnacentral:rRNA from 1 species
CAGGAUGAACGCUAGCUACAGGCUUAACACAUGCAAGUCGAGGGGCAUCAGGAAGAAAGCUUGCUUUCUUUGCUGGCGACCGGCGCACGGGUGAGUAACACGUAUCCAACCUGCCCUUUACUCGGGGAUAGCCUUUCGAAAGAAAGAUUAAUACCCGAUAGCAUAAUGAUUCCGCAUGGUUUCAUUAUUAAAGGAUUCCGGUAAAGGAUGGGGAUGCGUUCCAUUAGGUUGUUGGUGAGGUAACGGCCCACCAAGCCUUCGAUGGAUAGGGGUUCUGAGAGGAAGGUCCCCCACAUUGGAACUGAGACACGGUCCAAACUCCUACGGGAGGCAGCAGUGAGGAAUAUUGGUCAAUGGGCGCUAGCCUGAACCAGCCAAGUAGCGUGAAGGAUGAAGGCUCUAUGGGUCGUAAACUUCUUUUAUAUAAGAAUAAAGUGCAGUAUGUAUACUGUUUUGUAUGUAUUAUAUGAAUAAGGAUCGGCUAACUCCGUGCCAGCAGCCGCGGUAAUACGGAGGAUCCGAGCGUUAUCCGGAUUUAUUGGGUUUAAAGGGAGCGUAGGUGGACUGGUAAGUCAGUUGUGAAAGUUUGCGGCUCAACCGUAAAAUUGCAGUUGAUACUGUCAGUCUUGAGUACAGUAGAGGUGGGCGGAAUUCGUGGUGUAGCGGUGAAAUGCUUAGAUAUCACGAAGAACUCCGAUUGCGAAGGCAGCUCACUGGACUGCAACUGACACUGAUGCUCGAAAGUGUGGGUAUCAAACAGGAUUAGAUACCCUGGUAGUCCACACAGUAAACGAUGAAUACUCGCUGUUUGCGAUAUACAGUAAGCGGCCAAGCGAAAGCAUUAAGUAUUCCACCUGGGGAGUACGCCGGCAACGGUGAAACUCAAAGGAAUUGACGGGGGCCCGCACAAGCGGAGGAACAUGUGGUUUAAUUCGAUGAUACGCGAGGAACCUUACCCGGGCUUAAAUUGCAGUGGAAUGAUGUGGAAACAUGUCAGUGAGCAAUCACCGCUGUGAAGGUGCUGCAUGGUUGUCGUCAGCUCGUGCCGUGAGGUGUCGGCUUAAGUGCCAUAACGAGCGCAACCCUUAUCUUUAGUUACUAACAGGUUAUGCUGAGGACUCUAGAGAGACUGCCGUCGUAAGAUGUGAGGAAGGUGGGGAUGACGUCAAAUCAGCACGGCCCUUACGUCCGGGGCUACACACGUGUUACAAUGGGGGGUACAGAAGGCAGCUAGCGGGUGACCGUAUGCUAAUCCCAAAAUCCUCUCUCAGUUCGGAUCGAAGUCUGCAACCCGACUUCGUGAAGCUGGAUUCGCUAGUAAUCGCGCAUCAGCCACGGCGCGGUGAAUACGUUCCCGGGCCUUGUACACACCGCCCGUCAAGCCAUGGGAGCCGGGGGUACCUGAAGUACGUAACCGCAAGGAUCGUCCUAGGGUA